CGGAUGUAGCCAAGUGGAUCAGGGCNGU
rnacentral:tRNA from 4 species